AUUGUUAAAUAUAAAAAAUAUUUAGAUAUUAUCUUUUAUAAGUUUAAGCUGAUAGAGUACACCGGUUAUGUUAUAUAUUUUUACAUGAUAUCAGAAUAAGAGGUUCUCAGUUCAAAUCACGCCAGGCUCCUAAUAUUAUUAAUUUUCUUUCAUUUCAUUGAAGUCCGCGUCAUGAACUUACAAAAAGUUUCGAGUCCAUGAAGAAAGUGUUAAAUAUAAAAAAUAUUUAAAUAUCGUUCUCUAUAAGCGUAAGCUGAUAAAGUACAACGGUUGUUUUACAUAUUUCACACUAAUUACUAGUUUACUUUUAAAUUUAGAAAUUGCUAUCUUUAAAAAACAAA
rnacentral:lncRNA from 1 species